rnacentral:tRNA from 1 species
GCCUUCAUGGUGGAAUUGGUAGACACGCUAGACUUAGGAUCUAGUGGCUUCGGCCGUGUGGGUUCGAGUCCCACUGAAGGCA